rnacentral:rRNA from 1 species
AUUGAACGCUAGAGGGAUGCCUUACACAUGCAAGUCGAACGGAGUGGCGCACGGGUGAGUAAUGUAUCGGAACGUGACCAGUAGCGGGGGAUAACUACGCGAAAGCGUCGCUAAUACCGCCUACUAUUGGAGCGGCCGAUAUCGGAUUAGAUAGUUGGUGGGGAAACGGCUCACCAAGGCGACGAUCCGUAGCUGGUUUGAGAGGACGACCAGCCACACUGGGACUGUGCCUCGGCCCAGACUCCUACGGGAGGCAGCAGUUGGGAAUUUUCGACAAGGGGUAAACCCUGAUCCAGCCAUCCCGCGUGUACGAUGAAGGCCUUCGGGUUGUAAAGCACUUUUGGCAGGAAAGCGGUACCUGCAGAAUAAGCACCGGCUAACUACGUUCCAGCAGCCGCGGUAAUAC